rnacentral:tRNA from 1 species
ACCUUCUUAGUAUAACCACGUACAUUUGCCUUCCAAGCAAAAAGUUUGAACCUCAAAGAUGGUA